GUGAGGAAUAUUGCGCAAUGGAGGCAACUCUGACGCAGCCAUGCCGCGUGCAGGAAGAAGGCGCUACGCGUUGUAAACUGCUUUUAACCGGGAAGAAACCCCAGGACGUGUCCUGGGUUGACGGUACCGGAGGAAUAAGCACCGGCUAACUUCGUGCCAGCAGCCGCGGUAAUACGAAGGGUGCAAGCGUUAUCCGGAUUCAUUGGGUUUAAAGGGUGCGUAGUCGGAGCGUUAAGUCAGUGGUGAAAUCCUGCAGCUUAACUGUAGACUUGCCAUUGAUACUGGCGCUCUUGAGUGCGCUUGAAGUGGGCGGAAUGUGCCGUGUAGCGGUGAAAUGCUUAGAUAUGGCACAGAACACCAAUUGCGAAGGCAGCUCACUAAGGCGAUACUGACGCUGAGGCACGAAAGCGUGGGGAUCGAACAGGAUUAGAUACCCGAGUAGUCC
rnacentral:rRNA from 1 species